GACGAACGCUGGCGGCGUGCUUAACACAUGCAAGUCGAACGGAAAGGCCUCUUUCGGGGGUACUCGAGUGGCGAACGGGUGAGUAACACGUGAGUAACCUGCCCUUGACUUUGGGAUAACUUCAGGAAACUGGGGCUAAUACCGGAUAGGAGCUCCUGCUGCAUGGUGGGGGUUGGAAAGUUUCGGCGGUUGGGGAUGGACUCGCGGCUGAUUAGCUUGUUGGUGGGGGAGUGGCUUACCAAGGCGUUGACGGGUAGCCGGCCUGAGAGGGGGACCGGCCACACUGGGAGUGAGACACGGUCGUGACUCCGAGGGGAGGCCGCAGUGGGGAAGGGUGGACAAUGGGGGCAAGAGUGAUCCAGGGAUACAGCGUGGGUGCAGAAGGCCUGCGGGGGGGAAAGCCCCUUUGGGGGGAAAGACAAGUUGCACGUUAAUAAACCGUUGUUGUGACGGUAGGGGAAAAAGAAGCACCGGCUAACUUCGUG
rnacentral:rRNA from 1 species